GAGAUGUGAACCACGUGGGGCUAAGCGGAUAGAGUUGACGAAACUGGCAGUGUUCAGUGCUCGUGAUCGGGUUCGCUCGUGAUCGGGUGCGCAUUCAUUGUCGGUACGUGCUGGGACGUUCGGUGAGCCCUUCUGAAGGCUUCAGAGUCACCCAAGCUUGCUUGGUAGUGUUCUGUCGUCAGAAGUUGAUGUGCUCGCUGAUCGUAGCGGUGGCCGUGCCUCUGCGCGUUCGUUCGUUAGUUGGUGUGCUGCUUGGUAGUCGGACAUGUCUGGCUGCCUCGUACGUGUGCUGAUUAGCGGGCGCUCGCCUAUCGCCCACUCCCGGUAUGCGAAAGUCGACCACCUAUCCACCCGUCUUGAAACACGGACCAUGUCCUCUAGUAUGUACGCGAGUCAUUGGGUAUUAAACCUAUAGGCGCACUAAAUGUGAAGGGCGGCUUGUUCGUCUGAUAUUUGAUCCAUCGGUCUCGGCCAGCGGCGCAGGGUGACCCAUGCCUACUGCUUGGGCUGGUGUGGAGAUGGAGCGUACACCCUAGGACCCGGCGCAUCGUAAACUAUGCCAGACCAAGACCAAGUCCUAGGAAACUCUGAUGGAUUCCUCUCGGUUCUGACCUGCAAAUCGAUCGUCUUACUCUGGUAUCUGGGCUAAAAACUAAUCGACCUUUAU
rnacentral:rRNA from 1 species